AUUUAUGUGUCUACCUUCGUCUAGAGUUAAUUACUUCAUCAUAUAUUUGAUGGAAGUUUUACCUUUUCUUUUUUUUUCUAAUUCUUCUCCUCCUCUUUGUGUGCAUGUAAACCCCUUCCGAGUCCAUGGCGGACUUCUCCUCCUAGCAUUCUCGAGUUGAGCCACAAAGGCUUAAUAAUUUUUUUUUCUCAUCAUUCGAGUCAGUCGGGCACAUAAAACAGAAGCACAGGGCUGGAAACCCAGAGACAAGCCUCCAAAAGUCCUAAGAUGGACUAUAUACAUCCAUUAUACAUUGUAUACAUUCAGUAUACGUCAAUAUACAGGUCAAAAACGCAGGGAUACAGGGCUGAUGCGAAAUACAUGUGUUUGGAAGCAAGAUAUACAUAAAAAGGGCUGAUAUACAUGCCAAUAUACACUAAUAUACAUCAAGUGUAUACAAAAUCGGGAUUGAGUAAAAUUCCCAAAAACAGCAGCGAAAUUGGCCCAAAAGGGGGCCCAAAUUCAAAUUUCUCCCUUACUCGCUAAUUAUUUAAUUGUGAUUAUUUAUUGUUUGUUGUUUAACUCUAACUUUAUAAUCGUAAAUCAACUUAGUUGGAUCCCCCAAAAGACGAGCUAUUUCUCUGGGUUGUUUUGUUUCUAACAAAUCUCAUUUUAUCAAUUUUUGUAUUGUCAUUUAUAAUCUUUAGUCAAAACUUUCUUUUUUCUUUUAUUAGUUUAAAAUAGUUUU
rnacentral:lncRNA from 1 species